CGCAUCUGAGCGUUGGACUGUUCGGGCACCCGUCUGCCUGUUUUCUAUUUUGGGAUUUAGCCUGGUUUGGUGGCCUCCCGGCGAAUUAUUGCGUUCAUUCGGAACUUCGACAAGGCAGCACUGCACUAUUGGACUACGGCAAGCUCACGUCGUCUGGUGGAGCUUCCUGCGGAAACUACUACUGCUUACCUGGUGCCACAACGCUGGAUGAAUGCACAAAAAGCCCGCGACGAGCAUUUACAAAGAAUAAAAUAAACGUUAAUUUUUCCUCAUUUCACAA
rnacentral:lncRNA from 1 species